rnacentral:tRNA from 1 species
UCCUAUGUGGUCUAGUGGCUAGGAUUUCUACCCUUCACUUAGGCGGCCUGGGUUCGAUUCUCGGCAUGGGAA